GCGGGUGUAGUUCAGUGGUAGAACUCCAGCUUCCCAAGCUGGUCACGGGAGUUCGAUUCUCCUCACCCGCU
rnacentral:tRNA from 1 species